rnacentral:snoRNA from 1 species
CAUCUCGAUGAUGAUGAUCUGAUCUCGUACAUUCUGGCCAGCCUCGACUUCGACUACAACUCGGUGGUGUCCUCGGUCGCUGCUCGUGU